GCCGCUGUGCCUUACGGGAGAAGCGGGGAAGGAAACCACGCCUUUCCCGAGCCUUGAGGGCGCUGACACCCUCAGGGCUCCGCGCGAGGGGUGAUGGGAAGUGGGGGGGCUCUUCACGUUUUUGAUGGCGAGGGGCUGGCCCAGCUAAGUGACCGCGGGGUUUCUGUCUUUCCUGCUUUCUCGCCAGACGUGACAUGACCCUGAAGGCCUCCUUUGCCAGGGUUCUCGCUGUAUUCAACCCCCCCGCGCCCAGGGAGAAGACCUAGCAGCAGCUUGGCUCCACUCUCCCUUAGAUUCUUGGAAUAAGCCCAGAUCUCCGUGCUUCGUGCCCAGGUUACCUGCUUCUCCCAGUCCGAGCACAGCACAAAAACACAGACAAAAAUUAACAAUCGAUGCAGUGCAACAUUAGCUUGACUGCUUUACUUCUGAAGAGAGUGGAAGGGAGGGAAUCGAGCCUGCAACCAAGAUACAUGCCCUUGAACCAGAAUCAAACCCACAACCCUUCAGUCCUAAGGCUGGUGCUCUAUCCACUGAGCCUAGGGCAACAUUUUUUCUUUUUUGUUUUUAGAUUUUUU